CCCUCUGUAGUUUAAAAAAAAUUUUAAUUUUGUAAAUUAAAGAUGCUUCGCCAGGGGAA
rnacentral:tRNA from 1 species